ensembl:misc_RNA 7SK 7SK RNA
GGGUGUGUGGGCGAUCUGGCUGCACCAUCUGUCAUACAAUUGAUCACCAGGGUUUAUUCCACUGAUCUGGCUGGCUAGGCAGGUGUCCCCUUUCCCCCUCACCACUCCAUAUGCAUCCAUCUCAAAGCUGCACAUUUGGUCAAAGAGGAUGGCCUUCCCCAAAUAGAGAUGGACUAGUCUUCAGUCAAGGGUAUGAGUAUCUGUGUUCCCCUGCUAGAACCUCCAACUAUGCUCUCAAGAAAUGGCUACAACAGCUGGAUAAGGGCAAGAGACUGGCUCACUUAAUGAUGGCCUUUUUGGUCAAUACCAGAUCACCCCAUCAUUU